rnacentral:hammerhead_ribozyme from 1 species
ACACUGCUGAAGAGUCCCAUAGCAGGACGAAACGGUUGUCCAGUGC